rnacentral:rRNA from 1 species
UACGUAGGGUGCUAGCGUUGUCCGGAUUUAUUGGGCGUAAAGAGCGUGUAGGCGGCCUGGUAGGUCUGCUGUGAAAACUCGAGGCUCAACCUCGAGAUGUCGGCGGAAACCAUCUGGCUAGAGUCCGGAAGAGGAGAGUGGAAUUCCCGGUGUAGCGGUGAAAUGCGCAGAUAUCGGGAAGAACACCCGUGGCGAAGGCGGCUCUCUGGGACGGUACUGACGCUGAGACGCGAAAGCGUGGGGAGCGAACAGG